GCUACCUGUUGCAUGCACACUGAUGGGAUAAAGGAUACUCAAAGGAGAGGAUUAAACAAAGGUGUUACCAUUGUAAUUUAAGGGGAAGAAUUAGUUGUUGUUUUCUUGCAUGAGAGAAAAAGGAGUAAACGUGGGGGUAGCCAGAGCAUAGAUGGCUGCAUGCCAUUGGAAGUAAAGGAAAACAAAUGAAGGAGUGAAGUGUGUCUAAAAAAAAUAAAAUGAAAGAAUUAUUGAGCAGGCGCCAUAGAGAUGAGAAGGGUGAUUUCUCCACAUGAAGAACAGGCGUCAUGAGGAAAAGAGAAAGAGAUUCAUGGCUGCCAUUACAUACAACUGAUGAGAUGGGAUAAAGAUAUACUUGAUGGAGUCAAGGAAAUUAAUAGAGGAAUUAUCUUUGCA
rnacentral:lncRNA from 1 species